rnacentral:rRNA from 1 species
AACGAACGCUGGCGGCAUGCCUAACACAUGCAAGUCGAACGAGACCUUCGGGUCUAGUGGCGCACGGGUGCGUAACGCGUGGGAACCUGCCCUUAGGUUCGGAAUAACUCCCCGAAAGGGGUGCUAAUACCGGAUAAUGUCUUCGGACCAAAGAUUUAUCGCCCUUGGAUGGGCCCGCGUUGGAUUAGCUAGUUGGUAGGGUAAAAGCCUACCAAGGCGACGAUCCAUAGCUGGUCUGAGAGGAUGAUCAGCCACACUGGGACUGAGACACGGCCCAGACUCUUACGGGAGGCAGCAGUGGGGAAUAUUGGACAAUGGGCGAAAGCCUGAUCCAGCAAUGCCGCGUGAGUGAUGAAGGCCUUAGGGUUGUAAAGCUCUUUUACCCGGGAUGAUAAUGACAGUACCGGGAGAAUAAGCUCCGGCUAACUCCGUG